AAAUUUUUCUGAUGACAUAUAGUUCAUAUGAAUAAUCUAUGACAACUUUAACUUGAAAUGGUCUUUCACCCCUAACUGAUAACACUA